ACACACACACACACACGGUAUGUCAGGUAGUGACAAGUGUUCAGAAGGACAAAGUAAGCACGGCAGGGAGAGAACAAUAAAGGGCAUUUCAGUCUUAGGUUGAGAAACCAGCAAAAUCCUCACUGAGAAGGUAACUUCAAGGGAGGUUUGAAAGAAGUUUGAGAGAGAGAGUCAAAUGAAAACCUGAGGAAAGAGUGUUCUAGCUCGUGCAAAGGCCCUGAGAUGGUAAGUUAACUGGAAUACUUGAGAAACAGCAAAGAAGUGACUCAGUUGAAAUAAAGUGAGAGAGAAUUGCAGGGGAUGAUAUCAGAUCCGUCAUGGUGGCUAGAUCAUACUCAUCUUCUUCUUGCACACAGUAGAUUUACACAGAGUCAUUUGUUUAAACCAGAAUUGUUUUGUAAAAUAGGAGGAAAAUAAGGGGAUUUAGUUUUCAGUCGUCAUUCUAUAAAUUGUGGGGGAAUGAUGUUACUAGGAAAGGUGUUCAUGUGGAAGCACAUGGCUACUAUGUUGUUUAAAGAUGCUCCUCCAAGGCAACAGCUGCAUUCCUGUCCUGGUUCACAAGGCCACAGCCCCCAAGUCCUCUGAACCCUCUCAGUGCUAUUUGGCUUAUUAGUGACCUAAACAGGAAAUUCCUUCUAAAAUGGCUUGCACAAAUUCCUAUGCUCUAUUUUCUGACAAAUUUCACUUUUUGAAUAGAAAUGUCAUUCUUUUAAUAACAAUAUACACUCUUACCCAUUUUCCCCUUCACCUGCUCUGUGUCUUUUGAUUUCCAAGGCUUGUUGCAUAAGCCUCAGGACUAAUCCAUCCUCUAGUCACCACGAGGGCUAUAUUCCAUAUUCCAGCCCCCGCUCACGAAUGAUGAAUGAAGAUCAUGUCACCACUGUCCCUACUAUCACCUUCCAGUGGCUUCCCAGCUUACUGACAACAAAGCCACACUCCUAACCGUGUUCCGAGACCUUGCAUGNUAGUCAUUAACAAUCUGAUGCAGAAAUGUCUGCUCUUAAGAUUAUUUGUAAAGAUUACUGAAUCCCUUUUCUCAAAUUUUAUUUGUUUCAGUUGUAGGUCCCAUUGUCACAACCUGAGUUUUAGGCUUUUUGUGGGUAUGNGUUCUCAGACCUGUCCCCCGAACAUUCCUCCACUUCCCCUUCUAGGUCUAACGCCGCCCACCAUUAAUCAGGAAGAAGCCAGAGGACUUUAUGCCGUCCCCCGUGUCACUUAAAAAAACAAAAAGGGAGGAAUGUUGGGUGCAGGGCAGGCUGAACAGAUGUUGGCUGCAAGAUAGCCCACACACUCAAACCCCCCUCUGUCUGGUCCUUUAUCACCUGUUUGCCUCAAGUCUGAACAUUCAACCCUGCUUAAGGCUGAACACUUAACACCCCCUUGGGCCAACAAGGCAGCUUGCAGACCCAGAGGCCCCAUUAGAUUUGGGCUAUAAAAACUCCCUCCUGCCAGGCCCCCCUCUCUCUCCCCCUCUCUCUUGCUCUCUCUCUUGCUCUUUCUCUCUCCCUCUCUCUCUUGCUCUUUCUCUCUUGCUCUCUCUCUCUUGCUCUUUAUCUU
rnacentral:lncRNA from 1 species